AACGCGAAGAACCUUACCAAGGUUUGACAUGCAGGGAAAAGCCGUAGAGAUACGGUGUCCGUAAGGGUCCUGCACAGGUGGUGCAUGGCUGUCGUCAGCUCGUGUCGUGAGAUGUUGGGUUAAGUCCCGCAACGAGCGCAACCCUCGUCCUAUGUUGCCAGCGGAUAAUGCCGGGGACUCAUAGGAGACUGCCGGGGUCAACUCGGAGGAAGGUGGGGAUGACGUCAAGUCCUCAUGCCCCUUAUGUCUUGGGCUGCAAACAUGCUACAAUGGCCAGUACAAAGGGUUGCGAGACCGCAAGGUGGAGCGAAUCCCAAAAAGCUGGUCUCAGUUCGGAUUGGGGUCUGCAACUCGACCCCAUGAAGUCGGAGUCGCUAGUAAUCGCGAAUCAGCAACGUCGCGGUGAAUACGUUCCCGGGCCUUGUA
rnacentral:rRNA from 1 species